rnacentral:lncRNA from 1 species
AAUGGGACAACAGAAGAAGUGACUUCAAAAGAAGAGGAAGAAGAAGAGAUGGCUGAAGAUAUAGAAGAACUUAGAUCACUAUGAGAUGAAAGAAGAGCCUAUUAGUGGGAAAAAGUUGGAGGAUGAAGGAAUUGAAAAAGAAAAUUGGGCAAUAUUAGAGAAAAUUAGGAAGACUGAAAGGCAAGACCAUUUAAAUGUGCUGCAGUGUCUGGGUCAGUGCAAGCUUCAGAUAGACUUAUGGAAGAGCUCAGGGACAUAUACAGAUCACAGAGUUAUAAGACAGGUAAGGAUCUCUAAAUCCCUGCUCUUCUGAUUGUUCUUUUGUUCUUUUCUGUUGUCAGAUUAUAAAUGUCACUUCUUAAAACUGGACAGAAAUGGAAAUGUUUACUAAUUUUAUUUUCUGAAACUCAAACACAAUCAAGUUCCAAAAGAUGUAGGGGGUAAGAUAGGAUGAGUUUGCUUGUUUUUGGAUUUAAAGAAAUUGUUUUUAUAGGUCCAUUGGAAUAUUUUGUCAUCUUCCUGAUAGAGUGAACAUUUACAUGAUUUUUAUCUUCUGGCAAAAAGCUUGAGCAAUAUUGCUUGAUAAGUAAAUAAGUUUAAUACAUUUCAUUAUACAGGGAAUGAUUGCCAAGUUGAUUUUUAUUUUUUCCCCCAGUUUUGAAAGCAACAUAAUCAACUCUUAUUGUGGAGGUAGUUAUGUUAUUACUUUAAAAAUAUAUAGCUGGAGUACACCUGUAGUCCCAGCUACCAGGGGUGGUGGGAGGCUGAGGCAGGAAGAUCUUUUGAGCUUGGAGAAGUCAAGGCUGCAAUGAGCUGUGAUUGCACCAUUAUAUUCCAGCCUGGGUGACAGAGUGAGACACCCUGUCUCAUAAAACAAAAAAAAAGAGGGAGUGGGGGGUGGGAUACAUAUUGGAUAUGUAUAUAUAGGACAGUUGUGGAAAAAUACUGAUUUUUUAGUGAUUUAACUUUUGACAGUUCUGUCCAUGGCAAAUUUUUCUACUUGAACACCUUGGCUAAUAAUACAAGUUUAAGAAAGCAUAUUAAACUUUUUUUUUGAAUCCUUGAGAAAAUUAUAUACAUGUGACUAUUUUCCUUUAGAAUGACUACAAACUCUGAACCCUCUUAUUAGAUUAGAUUUAGGCUAUUAUGAUCUCUUUGGGACAUUUAUUCUAAAGGAGCUGGAAGCUAUAGUGGCCUCUAUUUUUCCCAGGGAUAUAGAGAAGCUUAAGAUCUCCUCUUUCUGGAACUUACCCUGGGUGCUCAAUUUUAACUUUCUGAUUGGUUCAUUUUUGAGUUAGUAAAAAUAAUAAUAAUAAUAUUUUUGUUUGAAUUGCAAACAAAUUGUCUUUGCACAGUGAUCUUCAGAUCUUAGAAGAAAAACAAGGGAUAGAAGACAUUUUGCUUAUCUUUUAACGUAAGAAAAUUGUUAUGAGACUCUAUAUCCUUCUAAUGGGUGUAUAUUUGUACAAGUGUUUGGAAAACAGUUUGGUAAAGUGGAAGAUACUCAUACCCUAUGGUUCAGGAAUCUUGUGGAUAUAUACUCCACAAGAACGAGUACGUAGGUGCCAGGAGACACAGGAAUGUUCAGAGCAGCAUUGUUUGUAAUAGCCACAAACAGAAAAUAACCCAAAUGUUCAUUCCAGUAAAAUGGAGAAUUGUAGUAUUCAUAAAAUGGCUUACAGCUAUGUGGGACAAGAUGGGCGAAUCUUGAACACUAUGUUAAGCAAAAGAGACCAGACCCCCAAAACCUAAUUUGUACAAUUCCCUCUAUAUAGAGUUCAAAAAUAGGCAAAACUCAUGUUGGUUAGGGCACACAUUCUUAGUGGAGGCAAUAUCGCCUGCAGUGGAGUAAAAACUGGUUCCUUAGAGUGAAAGAAAAUCUUACCUAUUAUCAUGGUCUGCUGCCCUCCAAAGGGCCAUAGAACAUAAAUGAAAAGAAACCUGAGAAACACUUAUUUAUGGAUUCAUACUUGGGCAGUAAAACUAUCAAGAAAAAAGAGGUGAUUACACACAGGGUAGGUUAAGGAGUCCAUCUAGGUGGGAGGUAGGGAGGUGUGAACUGAAAGAUACGUCUAUGGGCUUCUUGGAUCCUGGCUCUAAUAUCUUUCUGGAGCAGGCUGGUGGUUACAUGGGCACAUAAUUUAGAGUAACUUGUUAAGGUCUACCUUAAGGUAUAUUUUGUGUACUUUUCUGAAUGUGUUAUAUUUAAUAAAGUAUUUUUAAGAUACCUAAAAUAAAGGUUACAAAAGAAUAACAAUGGAAUCUAGAAAAAAUGUUAAUGAUCUAAUAUGGAAUCUAGAUAAGAUGUAAUGGUUUAAAAUCUAUGGCUGUAUGAGGUAUUUUGAUGAAAAAAACAAAGACAUAAAAGAAUACUUUGUUGUACUUACUCUAAGGAUGGUAGUAGUUUUCUAAAAGCUUCUUACUUAGCUUUUCUGUGUGUAUAUUUUUGCUUGGGGAUAUAUCUUAUGAUUGAACUUUCUAGAAAUGAUCCUAAUGUCAGUAUUUUCUCUGACUUUUGUUAUCGUAGAAACUGUUGUGGUUGUCAACUGGAUUGUCUUCCUAAAGUAUAAAUCUAGUAUAUAUUGACUGAAGUUGCUAAUGGUUACUUCUUUACGGAUUCAUAUGGGUGAACAAAUGAAGCAUGCAGGCCUACAACAAAAACCAAAACACCACAAAAAACAAGAAGAUACCAUUUUUUAAAAAAAAAACCAUUAAAUCAUAUGAAUAUAUACCCAAUGCCAAACUUAAGAAAUAGAACCUUUGGUUGGGCAUGGUGGCUCAUCCCUGUAAUCCCAGCAUUUUGUGACACUGAGGCAGGUGGAUCACCUGAGGAUAGGAGUUUGAGACCAGUCUGGCCAACAUGGUGAAACCCUGUCUCUACUAAAAAUACAAAAAUUAGCUGGGCGUGGUGGCAGGUGCCUGUAGUCCCAGCUACUUGGGAGGCUGAUGUGGGAGAAUCACUUGAAACCAGGAGGUAGAGGUUACAGUCAGCCAAGAUCAUGCCAUUGCACUCCAGCCUGGGUGACAAGAGUGAAACUCCAUCUCAAAAACAAAAUAAAACAGAAAUAGAACCUUAUCAGUACCUGUAGCACCCUGUGUUCCCCUCCCUUGUCAUGUCCUCUUUGGGAGGUAUCUUGAAGGGAAUAUGAAAUCUUGGUCAGGAAACUGGAGGAUUCGUGACUGCAGGUGGUGUUUUCAUUAUUUUUUCCUGCUCUAGUUAGGACUUUAGGGAGGGGAUGAUCUGGGAGGUAAAUGACUGAAAUGCUAUUGGAUUUGUGUUUGUGGCCCAUGGCUGAUACCAGAAAGAAGGGCCUUUUCUAGGGUUGGAGUAUUUUUUAAAAGACCUGGGAAGAAUGUGAUUGCCUUGAGCUAAUUGACCUUCUGAAGAGGACCUUAAACUGAAUGGCCAAGUUAUUAGUAACAGGAUUCACAGACUUUGGAGAAUAGCAGGUAUGACUCGGAAAGAUUUACAGGAAAGAGCCAGAACAAUAUAUAUUUAUGGACUCUGAUGUCCACAGUGACAACUUGAGAGUCAUGAAUAAUAAGCAGAAUGGAACUUGAGAUAAAGCAUAACACAAAGAUGGGAGUGAGGGCAGGAGGGAAUGCAACCUGGUCAGCAACUUGACAAAUCCAACUUGCUGUACUUUUAAGGAAGUCAUUUUCUGAUGUUACAGGCAACAUCAGAAUUACUGAAUUGAAUUAUGAGGUGGUACUUUAAGAAGGAUCUACUUAGACAAGGAUAGGUUCAUUUAGAGAAUAAUAGCCAGGAUUGGGAAGAGAUUCUUUUCCAUGUCCUAGGAUAGCUGAUGAAAUUGUGGAUUUGGAGAGGAAAGCAUGGGGGUUCAGGUUCAUGAUAGCUUGUCUUUAGCUAUUUGAAAAAGUAUGUAUAUGGAAGCAUUAGUUUUUAUUUUUAUUUGUUUUUGGUAAAGACAGGGCAUAAAACUAGAACUAAUAAGUCAAAUUACAAAGGGGUGAUUUUCAACUCAAUGUAAGGAAGUGACUUGUAACUAUUUAGACCCAUCUGGUGAUGUAGUCUUUGACAAAUAGAACGUUCUUCAUCCUUAAGAAUAACUUAGAAGGCUGAGAUGUUAAAUGGGAAAUCAGAUAACUUCAUGAGAUCCUUGUAGAGCCUGAGAGUCUGGUUCAGAGUUAACAUAUACUAAGGUAACUCAAACUUCAUUUUACCAGUCACCCUCAACCUUUAUUUUCCCCUCCCUGAAGAACGCUUUUUAUUUCUGUAAAAUCUUGAUUCCUGAGUUCCAGGGUACAGAGUUUGUGGAAUAGAGUCCCCAAGGUUUGAUGUAGAGGAUCCUCUUUCUCCUGUCUGAAAAUAUCCUUUAGUAUUUCCUUUAGUGUGAGUCUGUAGAUGGAGAAAAUCCUUACUUUUUAUUUCAUUAUUGAAGAAUAUAUUCAUUGAGUGUAAGUUUCUAGAUUGGCAGUUUCCUUCUUUCAGCACCUUGAAGAUAUCAUUCUUUUAUGCUAGCUUCCAUUGUUUCUCUUGAAGC